GUUGUAUAGUCAAGUAAUUAAGUGCAUGUGGUGGAUGCUUGGCAGUCAGAGGCGAUGAAAGACGUGAUAGCCUGCGAAAAGCUCCGGGGAGGCGGCAAAUAUCCUUUGAUCCGGAGAUGUCUGAAUGGGGGAACCCACCUACUUUAAGGUAGGUAUUGCAACAUGAAUACAUAGUGUUGCAAGGCGAACGAGGGGAAGUGAAACAUCUCAGUACCCUUAGGAAAAGAAAUCAAUUGAGAUUCCCUCAGUAGCGGCGAGCGAACGGGGAUCAGCCC
rnacentral:rRNA from 1 species